rnacentral:lncRNA from 1 species
UUGUAGUUAAAGUAUAACCACAGAAUGUGCUGAGAAUAUAACAUCUUGAGAUAGGGAAGAACUGCCUGAAACAGCUCAGGGCUUGUUCCUCUCUUUGCUGAGGAAUGUGACAUCUUGAGUUAAGAACUGCUUUGUUCUUCUCUCCUCUAGAAGCCAAAUGUCCUCCACAGCUUUGCCCAGUGGGACACAUGGCUCCUGACAUACGUAACCCAGGAUGGGAUGCCUUGUUGGAGUCUCUCAGAUAUGGAGCAAAAUGGGCCAUGUGCAGUCAAGACGCCAUCUACCCUGGGCAGCUUGCCUAAGCCUCGAGGGACCUGCCAAUGAUGGAUCUGAGACCUCUUCUGUCCCUGGCUGCCUAUCUGUCUGGUCCUCAUCAAGAACCCAGUGUUCCCACCCGAGAUGGAGACGUGAAUAAUCUUCCUAAGCCUAAUCCUGCCAGAAGCGUGAAGCAAGGGGGAAUUUGGAAGGCGGAACAGGAAAGAGUGGAAGUUUAGUUUACCGCUCUCCAAAAUAGAAGCUCUUUUCCCUGAGAUAGAAGCAAGAUGCUGCAAGAGAAAGGGUCAGAGAAACUGGAUUCAAUUUUAAUUUAGCCUGGAUGCUGAAAUAACCCUAUCUCUACUAAAUGCCAAAUCUUCACAUUCUCUUGGCCAACAAAGUGACUCCAGUGUUGCCACGGCAACCGUCUGUGGGUAGGCAUGAAGGACAGCACCUCACCUUAGCUGCAGCAGCCCACACACACAGCUCACUUUCUGCCUGGACUCCUCUGCCUGCAGCUGGUAUCGGGCCUGUUGGAAUUUGCUCAUCCAUUUCAUCGUGGGCCAGUGUGAAAUGGCACAGUGGAGUUUCUUUGAGGCUACAUGGUGAGAGAAGAUGUCACCGCUCUGACUGACAUACAUAAUGAUGUGUGUGUGUGUGUGUGUGUGUGUGUGUGUGUGUGUUUAGUUUUAAUUUCAAGUAUGGGAAAUAUAAAGAGAUAUAAUAUUUUAAAAACCAAUGGUUUGGUGGCUGUCAAUAUUCUUUAAGACUGCAAAAGUGUUCAGAGACAGAAUUUUGAGACUAGAACACUGUAUCAGAAUUUUGAGACUGAAACAGUGUCCUGUACAUUCAGAGUUGAAGACACUCCCAUGAGCACUAGAUAUGAAUGUGGGUGGAUAGGCCAUGACAGCAAAUGGCCCUGCCUUUAUUACCUGACUCACUUGUACCACAAUAGUCCCAACAUCACUCACUCCUCAUUUAUUCUUUAGGGAACUAUUUGAACUCUUUCAGAAGACGGACUCCUCGAUAAAGCAGUAGUACUCCUGUUUCCAACAUUUCACAUUAUUGUAAGUUGCAUUACAGUGAACAGAAUUUUAUUGAAGCACAAGGGCUAUAUUUCAGGUUCUACUGAGUGUAUCAUUUUGUUUUGUCAGACACUUUUAUGGAUAAUUAUGGAUGAAAAUUUAUAAAAAAUCUAAAAGUCAUCAUUGACUCUUUUCUCGCUUAACCUGCGUAAUCAAUUGGUCGAGUCCUAUUGAUUUUUCUCCUCAAUAGCUCUCCAAUUUCUCUUCUUCUCUGUGUCUCCACCGCAUCAAUAUAGUUCAAGCAACCAUCACUCUCCCCUAAUUCAUUAGAGCAGCAUUCUACCUGUCACCAAUCCACUGGGAUGAAUUCAAAGGAACUGAUCUUAGUAUUUCAUUUCAACAAUUGUCUUCUUGAAAUACUGUUAAAAAUAUUGUCAUUUUUUGCUUUGCCCCCACUCCUGGGUGGGCCAAACUCUCAAUGAAUCAUGACAUUGAACCCUGCUUGGAAUGGGUUGUUCAGCAGUGCAUAGAAGGUGCCUGACAGCUGUGUGCAUCAAUCCAGAUCCUUUCAGUCUGUGCCUUGCACCGAGUCUGCAUACAUCUAGAUAAAAUGAAUCUGUCAGCCUACUUUGACAAUAAAAUGAUGGGGAUAUGAAAAGCUGAAUUAAAUCUAAGACCAGGUGAAUUCUGAGAGAAGUCAGGAUAGAGAAUAACCAUCAUAGAGAUAGGAAAUCUUAGACUAUUCCAAUUCUGAAUUCUAAUAAAUGUAGCUAAAAAACAUCAGAUUAAAAGUGUUUGUCAGGUAUGUGUCUUGGAACUAAAGGUAUUUUCCAUGUUAAAUAUAAUUAAAUGAUCUACAGAAUAAAAGAAUGUCUCAAAAAUAUUUAUCAAUAUUUCCUAUCAGAGAAAUGUUACUUAUAAAUAUUUAUUAUAUUUUGGAUAAUAAAUGAGUAUAAAAGGUGACUUAAGGAGUAUGUUUCUCUCUAUCAAAUUAAUAAUGUGUAAAUUAUAUAAGCAAUUGUUUAAAAAUUUUUUUUUCAAUGGAUAAAUAAAAUAUAUAUUUUUUCAAUGGAUAAAUAAAAUAUUUUAAAAGGUAAAUUAGUAACUUACACAAAUAAUCAUACUGAUUAGUUUAAGCAUUCAUUAGAAAAAUUACUUCUGAGGCUUUCAUAAAAAAAAUACUGUGUUAUUCAACAUACCUUUACAUACCAUUUAUUAUUAGUGUCAAUGAUAUAACUUUCAAUUAGACCUAGCUAUGUUCUUGAAGGACUUCAUGGUCCCUUAGCAGAACACGAGGCAAUAAUGAUCACUUUCUGGGAAAAACUACACUAGGAAAAUGUGAGAAUCUGAUGCACUAAGCUAUCCUAGCUUUUGGGAUAUGCACUGUCUAGCAUUAUCAGCAUUGUUGGUGAGAUCUCACUAACAUGCAGACGUGUGAAAAGUAAAAUCACAUUUUGUCCUAGUAGAGAUACAAAUUGGAUUUUUUUUCCCCAGUAAGUAAUCUGAAUGAAAUAUUUCUGAAAUUAAAACCUCAAAUGUAAAGGAGGAUAAAUGGGUCUUAUUUUAUUUAAUUUAUUUAUUUUUUUGUAGCCAGUUUGGAACAGAGCAGUUAGUUUAUGGCUUAAGACUGUAUAACAUCUUGAAGGACUGAUUUUCAGUAAAUGUACAUGAUAUAGGACUGUAUACAACUCUUCAAAAUACAAAUAUUUCAACACUGUCAAUUAAAUAAAACCUGCAACAAUUGAUAAGAAAAAGUCUCAUUUUAAAAAUUCCAGGUUGCGUAUCAAAGCAAGAUGCUAUACUCUUUUUUUGGAGCCUCUUCAAUUCUAAGGAGUCCUAGGGUCACUUAAUGGAACUCUACACUUAGCAAGCUGUUAAAAUUUCUUCUUCCUUAGUAACUGAGCAGCAAACGUCCUACUUGGUUUGAUCUGAGCAGCAUAAAUGAAUAUAAAAAACGAGAGGGAACAAAUCUUUAAAAGAUCUAAUAAUAUCAAAAUAUGGUUAUGCUGUACGAAAGUUAUCUAGUUCUUUAGUGAUAUGUUUUACUCCUAUUGUAAUCAAGUUAUGAAUCAUACAUCUAACUAGAUCUAUGUAAACUGGUAAAUAUAAUAAAUGGUUUUACCUUGAACU